rnacentral:rRNA from 1 species
AUUGAACGCUGGCGGCAGGCCUAACACAUGCAAGUCGAGCGGAUGAAGGGAGCUUGCUCCUGGAUUCAGCGGCGGACGGGUGAGUAAUGCCUAGGAAUCUGCCUGGUAGUGGGGGAUAACGUCUGGAAACGGGCGCUAAUACCGCAUACGUACUGAGGGAGAAAGUGGGGGAUCUUCGGACCUCACGCUAUCAGAUGAGACUAGGUCGGAUUAGCUAGUUGGUGGGGUAAAGGCCUACCAAGGCGACGAUCCGUAACUGGUCUGAGAGGAUGAUCAGUCACACUGGAACUGAGACACGGUCCAGACUCCUACGGGAGGCAGCAGUGGGGAAUAUUGGACAAUGGGCGAAAGCCUGAUCCAGCCAUGCCGCGUGUGUGAAGAAGGUCUUCGGAUUGUAAAGCACUUUAAGUUGGGAGGAAGGGCAGUAAGUUAAUACCUUGCUGUUUUGACGUUACCAACAGAAUAAGCACCGGCUAACUUCGUG